rnacentral:rRNA from 1 species
UACGAAGGGGGCUAGCGUUGUUCGGAAUUACUGGGCGUAAAGCGCGCGCAGGCGGUCUUCCAAGUCAGUGGUGAAAGCCCGGAGCUCAACUCCGGAACUGCCAUUGAAACUGUUGGACUUGAGUAUGAGAGAGGUGAGUGGAAUUCCUAGUGUAGAGGUGAAAUUCGUAGAUAUUGGGAAGAACACCGGUGGCGAAGGCGGCUCACUGGCUCAUUACUGACGCUCAGGCGCGACAGCGUGGGGAUCAAACAGG